rnacentral:lncRNA from 1 species
GCGAGGGCCAUGAAAUUUACUAAAUAGCACGCCUCGAGUUCUAAGGGUAAACAAAAUUAAUUAGACGUGGGCCAUGCAAUUGUCAUUUUUGUUUGGCAUGUCGCACCUCAACUUACUCUAAUUAGAGCAUUUCUAAAUUAACACACGAGGGCCAUAAGUUGUUAUUGGUUUGAAUGACACACCUCAAAAUAUCAAAAGAGUCUAAUUGAUUAAGGAAAAGAAUCAACCCCCAGUAGUUCAAAAUAUAUAUAAUGCUAAAGGCCUGAGCCAAAUUUGACACCCACGAAUCAACACUCAAGGGAAACGGACCAACGACAUUGAGCUAACCCAAACGGGCCUCUAAAGCAAGAUUAAAGUGUCCUCUUGGAUAAGAAGACCUAAGCCCAUGACACAAGAAGGGCAGGAACCUUAAUACCUGAGGAAAGAGAUAGAAAUGGAUUACUUGCUUCUCCAAAGGCCUCACGCGGUUAAGAAGCUGAAAGAGAAGCUACUGGGACUGGGCAUGGGCAUCCUCACUGACGCUAUUUAGUUAUUCGGGAUCAGAAUUCACACUAUAGAAGACGGGAAUUGAGUUAUGAUUGAUGAAAGUCUGCUAUGUAUUAAGUAGUAAAAAGAGUCUCAAUUGACUAGCAUCACCCUUCACUCAAAAAUUCCUCAACGCCAUAUGCAGAAUUCUAAUUCUGGACAAGCUUUCAGAUUCAGGCCCAAAUUUAUCAGCCCUAAGAUUGCCAAGCUUGUCUAGUUAGCUAAAAACGAUGAUCAACAUAAUAUCACCAUGGAGCAUUGAGCCGUGUGAACAACUUAAUCCAUGGCUUAAAAUAAUUGGCAAAAAUUAACUAACUGAAAGAAAAUCUGAUUUUAUUUUAGCAAGCAUGGAAUUAAAAUUAGUCUCAUGAAACAUGCAUACAAAUUUCCCAUUUAUCUUCUGUUUUAACUAUUACAAUAGGGACGAACAUAGAAGCAUUUGAGAUUCAGAAUUAAACAAGCAUCGAGUAACCAUAUGCUUAACUCAGAUUUUUGGAGCUGUUCUUUAACAGACAGUUUCAUGCUAUUUGGGCAUUUUUGCUCAAGACAUGUGAAUGGUAAAUAUCAAUCCUAUAGGUUAAUCUAAGAAACAAUAAGAGUCUGAAUUACACCCUUCAAAUGGAACUCAUACUAAUGAUGUUGAUAUCAACAGAUAAUAAGCAAAAAAAAUACCCAAAGCUUAAGCAUUCUAAUCCACGUUACACUAUAAUAGUCCUUUGGAGUCCUUUUAUACAAAUCUGAACAUUAAGAUUCAUGCAAAUCACUAAUAAUUUGGAACACCUGAUUCGUUUAACACUACAAAUGAUCUCAAAAUUGAAAUGGGAUGAUUUUCAGAAGUGUAGAAAACAAAACAUAUGCUGAAAACUAAUUCUCAUGUAUUUCCAACUUCAAACAAAUACUUGGCUUCUUCAUUUCAUAGGUCAAAGGAAUGAACAAUACCUGGAAAUUAAAAAGAAAUCAAAAUGUAGGGGUCCGUGUUCUACAACAGUAGAGCAACAACAGGAUUCAACACCCAAACUCAAUAAAACAGCAAAAAUGGCCAACGAAAGCCAAUGGAACAGUAACUACCCAAUAGAAUUCAACCCAAAACUUUAAGAAAUCCAAAUUUAAGCCAUCUCAAACAUGGAAAGAAUCAGAAAAUAUUUCAAUCACUGAAAACUUCAACACUCAAAGCCGAGAAAUCAAUGGAACAAGUUCAGAGUUUCAGCCGUGAAUAUUUUCAGAAUUUUAUCUCUUCAAGUCUGCCUUCUAAGGAAAGAAAAGGUGCCUUUAUAGGCAAGCAAAUAGGGCAACCUUUCAGAUUUUAGUUCUACCCUUUAAGCCCUUUUCAAAUUUGCUUUUAGCUUAGAUAUCCCUAAAAUUUUGACUUGUUAACAAUAUGAAAUUCAAAUUAAAACACCUACUAGAAGCUUCCUAUUUCUGUUAUCAGAAAGAUUUCCUCAACCAAAUACCCAAACUACCCCCCAUGCCCUUGUUAUUUACCUUGCUAACCAAACAAACUUGGGCUCAAAACAAUCGGGCAUCUUGAAUUGGGUCAUAAAUGACUCAAACCCAAGGCUGGUUCCAAAUCAAUCCAAAUGAACAUUCAGAAACUCAAAUUCUGACCCAAAACCCCAACAAAACUAAGUGACAGUAACACGAAUAAACAAUUUGACUCUGUGUUGACUAUUACCUUGACAGUUAUGAAUUAAAAAGAGAUAAGAUUAAUAAUAACAAAGUUGACACUGCAAAAUCAACCCUAAGCGGGUUUGGAAUAAUUAAACAGAGGUACUAACAAAGUCGUGCUUAAUAGAUCAAAACAGGUAAAGAAACCAAUUUGGGAAAAUAAAACUUAACGAAGAGCACAAGAACAUGACCAACUCUCAAACAACACAAUUAACCCAAUUUCAAUUGAAUUGACCAGAAAAAGGAGGAGAGGUGAACCAAGAAAUGAAGGAAGGACUCACCGACUAAAACUCGAACCUGGGGCUUGGCACUCCUAAAUAACGUCAAGUACUUGUUCUUUAUCAAGGACAACUCUGCAUGUACGGGUUUGGAUUUGGAUUCAAAAGCUCGGGCUUCAUAUUCAACAUUCGAUGAGUUCCAGACAGAUUCGAGGGGAGCUGGUCACAGAUUUGGGGAGAGGGGGUCGAAGAGGCACUAGGGUGCCGAUUUGGUGGGGAAAGGUGGGGGCGCCGCCACCGGAACACAUUGAAAUUUCAGGGCGGCUGGUUAGGGUUUCAGAUUUCGAUUUGAAAUUUGAUAGGUUCUGGGUGGAUUCGAGGAGAAGUGUUUGAGGAUCUGGAGAGAGGGAAGUGAGAAGAACAUUUGGUGUUGUACCGGUGGCGAUUGGCAGUGACGCCGCCAUGGUCUGGGGUUGGGGGUUCAAAGGAGGCAAUUUAGGUUUUAUUCCUGGUUUUUGAGAGGGGUCCAUGUGAGAG